rnacentral:rRNA from 1 species
CGCCUUGCCAGCCCGCUCAGAAACUCAAAUGAAUUGACGGGGGCCCGCACAAGCGGAGGAGCAUGUGGUUUAAUUCGAUGAUACGCGAGGAACCUUACCUGGGCUCGAACGUAAGAUGACUGUAGGUGAAAGCUUACAUCUCUUCGGAGCAUUUUACGAGGUGCUGCAUGGUUGUCGUCAGCUCGUGCCGUGAGGUGUCGGGUUAAGUCCCAUAACGAGCGCAACCCCUACCUUUAGUUGCCAUCAGGUAAUGCUGGGGACUCUAAAGGAACUGCCUACGCAAGUAGUGAGGAAGGUGGGGAUGACGUCAAGUCAGCAUGGCCCUUACGUCCGGGGCUACACACGUGCUACAAUGGCCGGUACAAAGGGUUGCGAAGCCGUGAGGUGGAGCGAAUCUCAAAAAGCCGGCCUCAGUUCGGAUUGGAGGCUGCAACUCGCCUCCAUGAAGUCGGAAUCGCUAGUAACCGCAGAUCAGCUACGUUGCGGUGAAUACGUUCCCGGGCCUU